GAUGAACGCUGGCGGCGUGCUUAACACAUGCAAGUCGAACGAGAAGUGGAGACGGAAACCUUCGGGCGGAAGACUUUACUUCGAGUGGCGGACGGGUGAGUAACGCGUGGGUAACCUGCCUCAUACAGGGGGCUAACAGUUGGAAACGACUGUUAAUACCGCAUAAGACCACAGCACCGCAUGGUGCGGGGGUAAAAACUCCGGUGGUAUGAGAUGGACCCGCGUUCGAUUAGCCAGGUGGCGGGGUAACGGCCCACCAAGGCGACGAUCGAUAGCCGAUCUGAGAGGAUGACCGGCCACAUUGGGACUGAGACACGGCCCAAACUCCUACGGGAGGCAGCAGUGGGGAAUAUUGCACAAUGGGGGAACCCUGAUGCAGCGACGCCGCGUGAGAGAAGAAGUAUUUCGGUAUGUAAAGCUCUAUCAGCAGGGAAGAAAAUGACAGUACCGGAGUAAGAAGCCCCGGCUAACUACGUG
rnacentral:rRNA from 1 species